rnacentral:rRNA from 1 species
GAUGAACGCUGGCGGCGUGCCUAAUACAUGCAAGUAGAACGCUGAAGGAAGGAGCUUGCUCUUUCCGGAUGAGUUGCGAACGGGUGAGUAACGCGUAGGUAACCUGCCUGGUAGCGGGGGAUAACUAUUGGAAACGAUAGCUAAUACCGCAUAACAGUAGAUGUUGCAUGAUAUCUACUUAAAAGGUGCAAUUGCACCACUACCAGAUGGACCUGCGUUGUAUUAGCUAGUUGGUGAGGUAACGGCUCACCAAGGCGACGAUACAUAGCCGACCUGAGAGGGUGAUCGGCCACACUGGGACUGAGACACGGCCCAGACUCCUACGGGAGGCAGCAGUAGGGAAUCUUUGGCAAUGGACGGAAGUCUGACCGAGCAACGCCGCGUGAGUGAAGAAGGUUUUCGGAUCGUAAAGCUCUGUUGUAAGAGAAGAACGAGUGUGAGAGUGGAAAGUUCACACUGUGACGGUAUCUUACCAGAAAGGGACGGCUAACUACGUG